rnacentral:lncRNA from 1 species
UCUUUGAUUUAGUCAUCAGGAAAAGUUCCCUUAAUCAGCUUUGCUUUACCUUAACUGGGAAAUUUGUUUCAGUUUACAGGGGUUACGUGCUGCCUGGUGAAGUUCAUGUCUGAGCAACCCCUCUUCUGAAGGAAACUCCAAAAAAACAGUUGGUUUCUGGCAGCUGCCCCUUUAUGAAGUUGUGCCUUCUGGGUCAGAGAUGAAAGGAGCUGGCUGUAACCCUGUGCAACUGAAACCCUUUUUCCGAAGGUCUAUAAACACUGGCCUUCAACCAAACCUUACAGCAAGAAUGUUUCUGUACUGGAUGAAGAGGGCAGUGAGUCAGUCCCUUUGUCUACUUUUGGAAGUAUGAUUGGAAUAUGAGAGUAAGUUGUUCCUGUUGACGUCUGAAUGCAGAUAGGACGGGAAUGUGGGAGGUCUGAUGGUGAGCGGGACCCCACCUGUG